rnacentral:lncRNA from 10 species
CAGGAUCAAGGCCCAAGACCUUCUCGGGAAGAAGGAGGAGGAGCUGCUGAAACAGCUGGACGACCUAAAGGUGGAGCUGUCCCAGCUGCGCGUCGCCAAAGUGACGGGCGGCGCGGCCUCCAAGCUCCCUAAGAUCCGGUCGUCCGCAAAUCCAUUGCCCGUGUUCUCACGGUUAUUAACCAGACUCAGAAAGAAAACCUCGGGAAAUUCUACAAGGGCAAGAAGUACAAGCACCUGCACCUGCGGCCUAAGAAGACACGCGCCGUGCGCCGCCCGCUCAGCAAGCACGAGGAGAACCUGACGAUCAAGAAGCAGCAGCAGAGCGAGCAGCUGUCCCCAGUGCGGAAGUGCGCGGUCAAGGC